rnacentral:rRNA from 1 species
AGAGUUUGAUCCUGGCUCAGGACGAACGCUGGCGGCGCGCCUAACACAUGCAAGUCGAACGGAGCUUAGAGAGCUUGCUUUUUAAGCUUAGUGGCGAACGGGUGAGUAACGCGUGAGUAACCUGCCCUAGAGUGGGGGACAACAGUUGGAAACGACUGCUAAUACCGCAUAAGCCCACGGUACCGCAUGGUACUGAGGGAAAAGGAUUUAUUCGCUUUAGGAUGGACUCGCGUCCAAUUAGCUAGUUGGUGAGGUAACGGCCCACCAAGGCGACGAUUGGUAGCCGGACUGAGAGGUUGAACGGCCACAUUGGGACUGAGACACGGCCCAGACUCCUACGGGAGGCAGCAGUGGGGAAUAUUGCACAAUGGGGGAAACCCUGAUGCAGCGACGCCGCGUGGAGGAAGAAGGUUUUCGGAUUGUAAACUCCUGUCGUUAGGGACGAUAAUGACGGUACCUAACAAGAAAGCACCGGCUAACUACGUGCCAGCAGCCGCGGUAAAACGUAGGGUGCAAGCGUUGUCCGGAAUUACUGGGUGUAAAGGGAGCGCAGGCGGGAAGACAAGUUGGAAGUGAAAACCAUGGGCUCAACCCAUGAAUUGCUUUCAAAACUGUUUUUCUUGAGUAGUGCAGAGGUAGGUGGAAUUCCCGGUGUAGCGGUGGAAUGCGUAGAUAUCGGGAGGAACACCAGUGGCGAAGGCGGUCUACUGGGCACCAACUGACGCUGAGGCUCGAAAGCAUGGGUAGCAAACAGGAUUAGAUACCCUGGUAGUCCAUGCCGUAAACGAUGAUUACUAGGUGUUGGAGGAUUGACCCCUUCAGUGCCGCAGUUAACACAAUAAGUAAUCCACCUGGGGAGUACGACCGCAAGGUUGAAACUCAAAGGAAUUGACGGGGGCCCGCACAAGCAGUGGAGUAU